rnacentral:rRNA from 1 species
UUUUAUGAGAGUUUGAUCCUGGCUCAGGACGAACGCUGGCGGCGUGCCUAAUACAUGCAAGUCGAACGCUUCUUUUUCCACCGGAGCUUGCUCCACCGGAAAAAGAAGAGUGGCGAACGGGUGAGUAACACGUGGGUAACCUGCCCAUCAGAAGGGGAUAACACUUGGAAACAGGUGCUAAUACCGUAUAACAAUCAAAACCGCAUGGUUUUGAUUU